rnacentral:rRNA from 1 species
AUUGAACGCUGGCGGCAGGCCUAACACAUGCAAGUCGAACGAGUGGCGGACGGGUGAGUAAUGUCUGGGAAACUGCCUGAUGGAGGGGGAUAACUACUGGAAACGGUAGCUAAUACCGCAUAACAUCAGAUGUGCCCAGAUGGGAUUAGCUUGUUGGUGGGGUAACGGCUCACAAAGGCGACGAUCCCUAGCUGGUCUGAGAGGAUGACCGGCCACCUGGGACCGGAGACAAGGUCCAGACUCUGCCGGGAGGCAGCGUUGGGGAAUAUGUCACAAUGGGCGCAAGCCGGAUGCAGCCAUGCCGCGUGGAGGAAGAAGGCCUUCGGGUUGUAAAGUACUUUCAGCGAGGAGGCGUUACCCGCAGAAGAAGCCCCGGCUAACUCCGUGCCAGCCGCCGCGGUAAUUC